rnacentral:rRNA from 1 species
GACGAACGCUGGCGGCGUGCCUAAUACAUGCAAGUUGAGCGCUGAAGGUUGGUACUUGUACCAACUGGAUGAGCAGCGCACGGGUGAGUAACGCGUGGGGAAUCUGCCUUUGAGCGGGGGACAACAUUUGGAAACGAAUGCUAAUACCGCAUAAAAACUUUAAACACAAGUUUUAAGUUUGAAAGAUGCAAUUGCAUCACUCAAAGAUGAUCCCGCGUUGUAUUAGCUAGUUGGUGAGGUAAAGGCUCACCAAGGCGAUGAUACAUAGCCGACCUGAGAGGGUGAUAGGCCACAUUGGGACUGAGACACGGCCCAAACUCCUACGGGAGGCAGCAGUAGGGAAUCUUCGGCAAUGGACGAAAGUCUGACCGAGCAACGCCGCGUGAGUGAAGAAGGUUUUCGGAUCGUAAAACUCUGUUGGUAGAGAAGAACGUUGGUGAGAGUGGAAAGCUCAUCAAGUGACGGUAACUACCCAGAAAGGGACGGCUAACUACGUG